UGUCGCAUGAUGUAAUGGUUAGCACUCUGGACUCUGAAUCCAGCGAUCCGAGUUCAAGUCUUGGUGAAACCU
rnacentral:tRNA from 1 species